GAGAGGAGCUGUCCUUAGUACGAGAGGACCGGGAUGGACAUACCUCUGGUGUACCAGUUGUCGUGCCAACGGCAUAGCUGGGUAGCUAUGUAUGGACGGGAUAAGUGCUGAAAGCAUCUAAGCAUGAAGCCCCCCUCAAGAUGAGAUUUCCCAACUUCGGUUAUAAGAUCCCUCGAAGAUGACGAGGUUAAUAGGUUCGAGGUGGAAGCGUGGUGACACGUGGAGCUGACGAAUACUAAUCGAUCGAAGACUUAAUCAA
rnacentral:rRNA from 5 species